rnacentral:sRNA from 1 species
CACUUGCAGAAAGUGCAAGGUGGUGACAGUGCUAUGAGGGCCUUCCAGAACACGGCAACUACAUGUGCACCAGUAUCACAUUAUCGAGCUGUUGAAAGUGUGGAUUCAAGUGAAGAGAGUUUUUCUGAUUCAGAUGAUGAUAGCUGUCUUUGGAAACGCAAACGACAGAAAUGUUUUAACCCUCCUCCCAAACCAGAGCCUUUUCAGUUUGGCCAGAGCAGUCAGAAACCACCUGUUGCUGGAGGAAAGAAGAUUAACAACAUAUGGGGUGCUGUGCUGCAGGAACAGAAUCAAGAUGCAGUGGCCACUGAACUUGGUAUCUUGGGAAUGGAGGGCACUAUUGACAGAAGCAGACAAUCCGAGACCUACAAUUAUUUGCUUGCUAAAAAACUUAGGAGGGAAUCUCAAGAGCAUACAAAAGAUCUAGACAAGGAACUAGAUGAAUAUAUGCACGGUGGCAAAAAAAUGGGAUCAAAGGAAGAGGAAAAUGGGCAAGGUCAUCUCAAAAGGAAACGACCUGUCAAAGACAGGCUAGGGAACAGACCAGAAAUGAACUAUAAAGGUCGAUACGAGAUCACAGCGGAAGAUUCUCAAGAGAAAGUGGCUGAUGAAAUUUCAUUCAGGUUACAGGAACCGAAGAAAGACCUGAUAGCCCGAGUAGUGAGGAUUAUUGGUAACAAAAAGGCAAUUGAACUUCUGAUGGAAACCGCUGAAGUUGAACAAAAUGGUGGUCUCUUUAUAAUGAAUGGUAGUCGAAGAAGAACACCAGGUGGAGUUUUUCUGAAUCUCUUGAAAAACACUCCUAGUAUCAGCGAGGAACAAAUUAAG